ACGGAAGGCAGCAGUGGGGAAUAUUGGGCAAUGGGCGAGAGCCUGACCCAGCAACGCCGCGUGAAGGAAGAAGGUCUUCGGAUUGUAAACUUCUUUUAUGAGGGACGAAGGACGUGACGGUACCUCAUGAAUAAGCCACGGCUAGCUACGUGCCAGCAGCCGCGGUAAUACGUAGGUGGCAAGCGUUAUCCGGAUUUACUGGGUGUAAAGGGCGCGUAGGCGGGGAUGCAAGUCAGAUGUGAAAUCCAUGGGCUCAACUCAUGAACUGCAUUUGAAACUGUAUCUCUUGAGUGCUGGAGAGGUAGAUGGAAUUCCUAGUGUAGCGGUGAAAUGCGUAGAUAUUAGGAAGAACACCAGUGGCGAAGGCGAUCUACUGGACAAUAACUGACGCUGAGGCGCGAAAGCGUGGGUAGCAAACAGGAUUAGAUACCCUGGUA
rnacentral:rRNA from 1 species